CCUACGGGAGGCAGCAGUAGGGAAUAUUGCUCAAUGGGGGAAACCCUGAAGCAGCAACGCCGCGUGGAGGAUGAAGGUUCUCGGAUUGUAAACCCCUUUUGGCAGAGAAGAAAAUGACGGUAUCUAACGAAUAAGCACCGGCUAACUCCGUGCCAGCAGCCGCGGUAAUACGCAGGGUGCAAGCGUUACUCGGAUUCACUGGGCGUAAAGGGGGCGCAGGCGGGAUAGCAAGUCAGAUGUGAAAUCCUAGGGCUUAACCAUAGAACUGCAUUUGAAACUGUUAGUCUAGAGUGUAGGAGGGGUAGGUGGAAUUCUUGGUGUAGCGGUAAAAUGCGUAGAGAUCAAGAGGAAUAC
rnacentral:rRNA from 1 species